AUAGUCCUACAAUACUAUUAAUGAUUUUGAGGAAAAGUGUAACUAAAAAAAUCUCAAUCUCAAAAUCUGUAUAAAGCUCUCUUAAUUGUCUAGACAUAAAUAACUGCACUGAUCCCACUGAUGGAUAACAGCCCUAGACUGUUCUCAUCUCUAUAAAAUUAACCAUGUGUAUAAGGAUAAGCAGAAUCCACAUGUGUUUUAUUCAUUGUAUUGCAGGUGGGGAUGUUCUUAGCAUUGCUGCAGGAGCUAAAGAACAGCCAAGCCUAAAAACACAGUAGAAUGAUUAGUGGAUGGAAAGAUAAGUAUUUGCCCAUUUAAAAAGGAAAAAUCCUGGGUUGUGAUUAUAGUGCCCUAUGUAUCACAGAACUUACCAUUUGUGGUGACAGAAAAAGGCUAUAUCUCGUACAUUAUUUUAGUCAUCUCCUUACACAUUCACUUUAAUAUUUAUGAAUUUUUGUCUCUUCCAGUUGUAUGUUUCUUAAUGCAAGCACAAACCCUAUUUGCUGGAAAAAAUAACGUGACACAACCUUUUACUUUGACAAGUAGAACUAGACUUUGUAAAUAGAGUUUGCAAAUAAACUUUGCAUGCCCAUGGGAUGUUGAACCACAGAACAAUGUUGUACCGUUCACGCAUUAAAAAAAAAGGUAACAGACACGUGGUAGUCCACAGAAUGUUUUCAGGAUGGAGAGCAACAGUCAACCUGUAGCCUAGAAGGUCGGGGAGCUGCUGCUGUUAAACGUUCUAUGAAAAUGUGUAACUUUGAGUAAUACAGAGGUGUUUGGUAUCAGACAUCUGCUGUUUGAUACGCCAGUUUUGAGCGUAACUGUUUUAGAGGUAACUAGUCUCAGACGAAUAGUCUCCACUGUCUUUCUGUUACUGAAGAAACUUGCUCACUAAGAGUUGACUCAGCAAAGGAGGAGUUGUUCCUGGACCAUGUUCCUGGAAGCUCAUGCUGCACAAGUUGCUGUCAUGAAUAAUGCCACAAAAUUAAGUAUGUGCAAGUGUCCAUGUGAUCAAGGCAUAAAGCAACAGUGGGUGGGGAAGAGAAGUAAUAUGACAAGGUAAGCAUCUUCUCUAGGAAGUUGCAGUUUUGGAAGCUAAUUUGUGUAGUCAGGUACAUAGGCCUUUUUAAACCUGUAGUGGUUUUGGUAAGCAUGGGUCCUCUGCACUGUUAACAACAUCAGGACUGUAGAGUUUAUAUUUUUCUUUGCGCCCGAGUAGGCACUGUCUCAGUGUAGAUCGGCAUAAAUCAAAUAGAAAAUUUCUGAGGUAGGAAUUCAAGAUUAAUUUAAAUGUACAUUCAGUAUAAGAAUUUUCUCAGGGCUGAUCUACCAUGUUCAACAGGUACAUGAUUAAGUCUGUUAAAAAACAAAACUGUGAUGGACAUUGGGUUGGUGUCAAUAGCUGGUUAUAGCUGUUAAUAAAGAACACUUGCUACCUACAAAGAAAUCAAAGUAGGUUUGUAGCCAUCAAGUAAUAAACAUUCAUGGUUAACCCCCUGCUUGUAACAGGCAAUAUCGUGAUUGCUUUCUGAUGUGUGAACUUGGUCAGUUUGCUGCAGGUCUCUUUUCAUUCAUUGUUUGCUAAAUUCUCUGGAAUUUUUAGACCUUUUGAGUACUUAACUCUUGCAGUGGUUGAGAAGAGCUGGAAAGUCAGGAGCCAUUCAAUAUCCCAUAGGCUAUGGGCCUCGUUUCAAUGUAAGGGCAAGGGACUAGGUUCAAGACACAGGCAUGAACAACCACAACGAAGAACGUCCUACGCUCAACUCUUUUUAUCCGAGAUUCACUGAUAUUUUUGUCGCCAUCUGUGUAUUACAGAUGGGGAAAAUACAUUGUGUUCAUAUAAGAAAUAGUUGUUGUAGAAUAAACUACUAUUCCUCCUAA